rnacentral:ncRNA from 2 species
CAAUAAGCGGAGGAAAAGAAACUAACAAGGAUUCCCCUAGUAACUGCGAGUGAAGCGGGAAAAGCUCAAAUUUAAAAUCUGGCGGUCUCCGGCCGUCCGAGUUGUAAUCUAGAGAAGUGUUAUCCGCGCUGGACCGUGUACAAGUCUCCUGGAAUGGAGCGUCGUAGAGGGUGAGAAUCCCGUCUUUGACACGGACUGCCAGGGCUUUGUGAUGCGCUCUCAAAGAGUCGAGUUGUUUGGGAAUGCAGCUCAAAAUGGGUGGUAAAUUCCAUCUAAAGCUAAAUAUUGGCGAGAGACCGAUAGCGAACAAGUACCGUGAGGGAAAGAUGAAAAGAACUUUGGAAAGAGAGUUAAACAGUACGUGAAAUUGCUGAAAGGGAAACGCUUGAAGUCAGUCGCGUUGGCCGGGGAUCAACCUUGCUUUUGCUGGGUGUACUUUCCGGUCGACGGGUCAGCAUCAAUUUUGACCGUUGGAUAAAGUUCAGGGGAAUGUGGCAUCUUCGGAUGUGUUAUAGCCCUUGGUCGCAUACAACGAUUGGGAUUGAGGAACUCAGCACGCCGCAAGGCCGGGUACUUGUACCACGUUCGUGCUUAGGAUGCUGGCAUAAUGGCUUUAAUCGACCCGUCUUGAAACACGGACCAAGGAGUCUAACAUGCCUGCGAGUGUUUGGGUGGAAAACCCGGGCGCGUAAUGAAAGUGAAAGUUGAGAUCCCUGUCGCGGGGAGCAUCGACGCCCGGACCAGACCUUUUGUGACGGAUCCGCGGUAGAGCAUGUAUGUUGGGACCCGAAAGAUGGUGAACUAUGCCUGAAUAGGGUGAAGCCAGAGGAAACUCUGGUGGAGGCUCGUAGCGAUUCUGACGUGCAAAUCGAUCGUCAAAUUUGGGUAUAGGGGCGAAAGACUAAUCGAACCAUCUAGUAGCUGGUUCCUGC